rnacentral:rRNA from 1 species
AUGAACGCUGGCGGCGUGCCUAAUCCAUGCCAGUCGAGCGAACAGAUCAGGAGCUUGCUCCUUUGACGUUAGCGGCGGACGGGUGAGUAACACGUGGGUAACCUACCUAUAAGACUGGAAUAACUCCGGGAAACCGGGGCUAAUGCCGGAUAACAUUUAGAACCGCAUGGUUCUAAAGUGAAAGAUGGUUUUGCUAUCACUUAUAGAUGGACCCGCGCCGUAUUAGCUAGUUGGUAAGGUAACGGCUUACCAAGGCAACGAUACGUAGCCGACCUGAGAGGGUGAUCGGCCACACUGGAACUGAGACACGGUCCAGACUCCUACGGGAGGCAGCAGUAGGGAAUCUUCCGCAAUGGGCGAAAGCCUGACGGAGCAACGCCGCGUGAGUGAUGAAGGUCUUCGGAUCGUAAAACUCUGUUAUUAGGGAAGAACAAAUGUGUAAGUAACUGUGCACGUCUUGACGGUACCUAAUCAGAAAGCCACGGCUAACUACGUG